ACCGGAAGGCGCGACGGGUACGUCCGGGGUAGGAGUGAAAUCCUGUAAUCCUGGACGGACCGCCGAUGGCGAAAGCACGUCGCGAAAACGGAUCCGACAGUGAGGGACGAAAGCUAGGGUCUCGAACCGGAUUAGAUACCCGGGUAGUCCUAGCCGUAAACACUGCCUGCUAGGUGUGGCUCCCACUACGAGUGGGUGCUGUGCCGUAGGGAAGACGCUAAGCAGGCCGCCUGGGAAGUACGUCCGCAAGGAUGAAACUUAAAGGAAUUGGCGGGGGAGCACUACAACCGGAGGAGCCUGCGG
rnacentral:rRNA from 1 species